AGUGGGUGGUGUGGUAAGAUU
rnacentral:miRNA from 1 species